rnacentral:rRNA from 1 species
UACGUAGGGAGCAAGCGUUGUCCGGAAUCAUUGGGCGUAAAGCGCGCGUAGGUGGCCCGGUAAGUCCGCUCUGAAAGUCACAGGCUCAACCUGUGAAAGCGGGUGGAUACUGCCGGGCUAGAGUCCGGAAGAGGCGAGUGGAAUUCCUGGUGUAGCGGUGGAAUGCGCAGAUAUCAGGAGGAACACCGAUGGCGAAGGCAGCUCGCUGGGACGGUACUGACGCUGAGGCGCGAAAGCGUGGGGAGCGAACAGG